rnacentral:lncRNA from 1 species
CUCAAGGACUCUGUGUGUGUGUGUGUGUGUGUGUGUGUGUGUGUGUGUGUGUGUGUGUGUGUGUGUGAGUGACUGUGUGUGUGUGUGUGUCUCCCAUUCUCUCUUCUCUCUCUGUCUCUCACCCUCUGUGUGUUUCUUUCCCUCUCUCUGUCGGUCUGUGUGUGUGUGUUUGUGUGCGUAUGCCCGUGUGCGUGUGUGUCUUUGGACGAAUG